CACUCCUACGGGAGGCAGCAGUGGGGAAUUUUGGACAAUGGGCGAAAGCCUGAUCCAGCAAUGCCGCGUGAGUGAAGAAGGCCUUCGGGUUGUAAAGCUCUUUUGUCAGGGAAGAAACGGUGAAAGCUAAUAUCUUUUGCUAAUGACGGUACCUGAAGAAUAAGCACCGGCUAACUACGUGCCAGCAGCCGCGGUAAUACGUAGGGUGCAAGCGUUAAUCGGAAUUACUGGGCGUAAAGCGUGCGCAGGCGGUUUUGUAAGUCUGAUGUGAAAUCCCCGGGCUCAACCUGGGAAUUGCAUUGGAGACUGCAAGGCUAGAAUCUGGCAGAGGGGGGUAGAAUUCCACGUGUAGCAGUGAAAUGCGUAGAUAUGUGGAGGAACACCGAUGGCGAAGGCAGCCCCCCGGGUCAAGAUUGACGCUCAUGCACGAAAGCGUGGGGAGCAAACAGGAUUAGAAACCCGUGUAGUCCCA
rnacentral:rRNA from 1 species